NNNUGUCCCCUUCCUCCCUCACCGCUCCAUGUGCGUCCCUCCCGAAGCUGCGCGCUCGGUCGAAGAGGACGACCUUCCCCGAUAGAGGCGUACCGUUCAUCGGUCAAGGGUAUACGGUAGCUGCGCUCCCCUGCUAGAACCUCCAAACAAGCUCAAGCGGUCCAUUUGUAGGAGAACGUAGGGUAGUCAAGCUUCCAAGACUCCAGACACAUCCAAGUGAGGCACUGCACGGGGCAGUCUGCCAUUGUUU
rnacentral:snRNA from 1 species